rnacentral:rRNA from 1 species
GACGAACGCUGGCGGCGUGCUUAACACAUGCAAGUCGAACGGUGAAGCGCCUUCCUUUUUGGUGGGUGUGGAUGAGUGGCGAACGGGUGAGUAACACGUGAGUAACCUGCCCCCUUCUUCUGGAUAACCGCAUGAAAGUGUGGCUAAUACGGGAUAUUCUGGGUCUGUCGCAUGAUGGGUCUGGGAAAGAUAUUGUUUCGGUGGGGGAUGGGCUCGCGGCCUAUCAGCUUGUUGGUGGGGUGAUGGCCUACCAAGGCGGUGACGGGUAGCCGGCCUGAGAGGGUGGACGGUCACACUGGGACUGAGACACGGCCCAGACUCCUACGGGAGGCAGCAGUUGGGAAUAUUGCACAAUGGGCGCGAGCCUGAUGCAGCGACGCCGCGUGAGGGAUGGAGGCCUGCGGGUUGUGAACCUCUUUCGCCAGUGAAGCAGGCCUGCCUCGUUUGUGGGUGGGUUGACGGUAGCUGGAUAAGAAGCGCCGGCUAACUACGUG